rnacentral:rRNA from 1 species
UACGUAGGGUGCAAGCGUUAAUCGGAAUUACUGGGCGUAAAGCGUGCGUAGACGGUUUCGUAAGUCGGGUGUGAAAGCCCCGGGCUCAACCUGGGAAUUGCAUUCGAGACUGCGAAGCUAGGGUGCGGAAGAGGGAAGCGGAAUUUCUGGUGUAGCGGUGAAAUGCGUAGAUAUCAGAAGGAACAUCAGUGGCGAAAGCGGCUUCCUGGUCCAGCGCCGACGUUCAAGCACGAAAGCGUGGGGAGCAAACAGG